AGCAGGCAUCUGCCUUCUAAGCAGAGGGUCGCAGGUUCGAAUCCUGC
rnacentral:tRNA from 1 species